ensembl:lncRNA
UUUUGUACCCUUCCAGUUGGAAGCAUUUUGAUCUCCGAAUUCGAAGAUCUUCAACAUUUAUUCAUUUUCCACAUUAAAUACGUGCUCCGCAUACCAUACAAAAAUUAUCGCUAGUACUUGCAAAAUUAAUCCAUAAUUGAGAAAAAAAUCAGUUCAUAAUGAAAAAGUAUUAUAACAGAGACAGAAUAUAUAAAGCCAGUUUCAGUCUGGAAACUUUCAGUUCUGGCCUAACCUGUGUAAUACUAGACAAAUGGCUUCCCCUCCGUUCCUUCCUCUUACAAAUUGCUUGCUGUACCUGUGUCAUCUCUUGAGGCCAAGGACUGGCCUUCUCUUUGUAUAAUGUGAUUUACAGCUGCUCCAACACAAAAUCACAGCAACGGUUCAGAGCUCUGCUCUACCAAACACCCUAAUCCCAGUCUUUACUGGUACUUCUAAUGGCAUCCCUGCUGUUGUGUAACAAUAGUCCAGUCAAAAGAACUUGUCCCAUUGCUUUGAACCUACUGUACACACAUCUAUAUACAUACGUAAUGAACUUCCUUCGUGUUUUGGGGUUUUUACCCUCCAGUCACAUCUCAGAUGCUGGCAAUGAAGCCUAAUUUGUUCUGUUCUCAGCAAAAGGGAAUGGUUUUACAUCCAUUAUUCCCAAAUAUUUCCAAUAUUAUUCCCAAAGUAAAGCAUCACCUAAGAAACUACGAAUACAGCACUGCCUGCUUGGUUUUGGUAUAACACACUGAUAACAGUGGUCUUGCCAGGGCUCUAUAAGCAGAAUAUAUGGAGAAUACAGAGCUCAACACGAGAAUACUCUCUUAUAAAGAUGUGGGAACAGGAGACAAGAAACCAUAAUCUGCCUGGGAUUCUGCCCAGACACAACCCACCACAGGAGAAUCCAGCCUGUGAUCACACUCAGACCCUACGCUGCUCCAGGACUGACCUGACGUUCACACUUUUCCAGUCUAAAAGUUUCCCACAGACAGUUCAUAAACUCACUGUGCAAACACCUAAAUUGCAUUGCCCCCCCCGCCUUCCUGCAUUAUUCUGGCACACUGCUCUGUACCUUCCCAGAGGGGAGGAAAAGUCAUUUCUCUCCAGAGCAAGCCUCUGAGGACAGCAGGAUCCCAAAAGCCACCAACCCCAGCCCUUUCAAACCAGGGCUUUUGGUACUCAGCCUCACACAAACCCUGUGUGUGAGGGUUUGUGUGAGGGCAGUUUUCCCAACCGCCUGUUGUGAAACCCGGGCCACAGGAGCCCUCCAGCUGAGAAGGACACAGGCUGAAGACCCACCUGAGGAGGGCUGGUGGAAACAAGCCUGGCACACGACAUUGCCCUUCACCCUUCCUUCACCCAUUCGGUGGGCGCGCUCCCGCACAACAUUGGGAUUUAACCGACUGACACCGCCAAUGAAAUAAAACGUUUAGCUGAAAAUUCCCAUCCGGUUGCUUGUCAGCGCUGAUUUCCAACGGCGAGGUGGCGGGCUUGCAUCAGCCUCUCCGCCCGAACGGAAGACUCGGGGAGCGCCACAGCGUGCCCACAAAGGGGCUGGUGUGAGGAAAAGUGCAAACCUCACACACCCUCUGUUAGUUUUCUCACCUCCGCACACAAUAAGAGCGGACUGAACCGAGCACCUCGGUGACCCACUAGAUCAACCUCUUUCUCUCCCCACCCGCAGCACGGGCAGCUCCUGCCCCUCUCCCUCUCUCCCCGGGCAGGACACGGACACACAGACAAAAAAGACAGGAAGGGGGGAAGGAAAAAAAAAAAAAAAAAAAGAAAAAAGAAAAAAAAAAAGAGCACCCUCACACACACAGAACCCACCACCCCCCUCCGCAGAACGCGCCGGCAGCCCCACAGGACCCCCCUCCCAAGGUGGCUCUCACCUCGGGGGGACACGGCCCCGGCACAGCCGGUGGCGGGGGGAGCCGCCUCUCGUCUUCUCUCCGCCAGUGCCAGACGCGGCGAAGCGAGGCGAGAGGAGGCUGCGGCGUGGCCCGGCGCCGCGGCACACUUGCACUUUUUCUCGGUGGUCUUUCUUUGCGGCACGGUGCGCCCAGCCCCGCCGCACGGAGCGGAGCCGAGCCGUGCUGCCUCCGCCUGCCUCGCCGGCACUCCUCCCUGCCU